AACGCGAAGAACCUUACCUACUCUUGACAUCCUCGGAAUCCUCUGGAAACAGGGGAGUGCCUUCGGGAACCGAGAGACAGGUGCUGCAUGGCUGUCGUCAGCUCGUGUCGUGAGAUGUUGGGUUAAGUCCCGUAACGAGCGCAACCCUUGUCCUUAGUUGCCAGCACGUAAUGGUGGGAACUCUAAGGAGACCGCCGGUGAUAAACCGGAGGAAGGUGGGGAUGAUGUCAAGUCAUCAUGGCCCUUACGAGUAGGGCUACACGCGUGCUACAAUGGGCAGUACAAAGGGUCGCUAAGCCGCGAGGUGGAGCUAAUCCCAAAAAGCUGUUCGUAGUCCGGAUUGGAGUCUGCAACUCGACUCCAUGAAGUUGGAAUCGCUAGUAAUCGCGAAUCAGAACGUCGCGGUGAAUACGUUCCCGGGCCUUGUACACACCGACGCGUA
rnacentral:rRNA from 1 species